GUUAGUCACAGGAGUCAAGAGACCACACACAGCCCAAAGUGACAUUUGUUUCCCUGAAAUGAUUUGUGUGUGUUCACCUUAAAAUGCAACUCAGUAAAACAGAUCUAUACAACCUGGCGUUUGGCCGUGGCUUCCAGGACAGGCUGGAUGCAGAGUGAAGUCCUCUCCUCACUGUCAAUGUUUGCAGAUGUCUUCUUAUAAACUUCAUUUUCUUGAGACUUUCAAUUAGGUUUUUACUUAACUGGACUUUUAAAAUUGCCAUGCACAUAACUCUACCAGUUACAAUCUUGAGCUAAC
rnacentral:lncRNA from 1 species